AUGAAAAGUUAUCUCUCUGCUCUCUCUUCUCUGCACUUUCUCUCUGAAUCCAUAACCUCACAAAUCUCCGUCAACGUUUCAAUUUUAAGCUUCUCUGAUAAGCCUCAUCUUCUCAACAACUCUCAACAUACUGCAACCCGUGCAUCCAAUUUCAUCACACAGUUGUGUCCACGUCACUUCGUACUACCAUCGUAA